CUUCCUAUCCUACGGGAGGCAGCAGUGGGGAAUAUUGGACAAUGGGCGCAAGCCUGAUCCAGCCAUGCCGCGUGAGUGAUGAAGGCCUUAGGGUUGUAAAGCUCUUUUACCCGGGAAGAUAAUGACAGUACCGCAGAAUAGGCCACGC
rnacentral:rRNA from 1 species